AUUGAACGCUGGCGGCAGGCCUAACACAUGCAAGUCGAGCGGAUGAAGGGAGCUUGCUCCUGGAUUCAGGGGCGGACGGGUGAGUAAUGCCUAUGAAUCUGCCUGGUCGUGGGGGAUAACGUCCGGAAACGGGCGCUAAUCUCGCUUACGUCCUGUGGGGGAAAGUGGGGGAUCUUCGGAUCUCACGCUAUCAGAUGAGCCUAGGUCGGAUUAGCUAGUUGGUGGGGUAGAGGCCUACCAAGGCGACGAUCCGUAACUGGUCUGAGAGGAUGAUCAGUCACUCUGGAACUGAGACACGGUCCAGACUCCGACGGGAGGCAGCAGUGGCGAAUAUUGGACGAUGGGGGAAAGCCUGAUCCAGCCAUGCCGGGUGUGUGAAGAAGGUCUUCGGAUGGUAUAGCGGUUUAAGUGGGGAGGAAGGGCAGUAAGUUAAUACCUGGCUGUUUUGACGGUACCAACAGAAUAAGCACCGGCUAACUUCGUG
rnacentral:rRNA from 1 species